rnacentral:rRNA from 1 species
CGAACGCUGGCGGCGUGCUUAACACAUGCAAGUCGAGCGGUAAGGCCCUUUCGGGGGUACACGAGCGGCGAACGGGUGAGUAACACGUGGGUGACCUGCCUUUAGCUCUGGGAUAAGCCUGGGAAACUGGGUCUAAUACCGGAUAUGACCCUAUGGCGCAUGUUGUGGGGUGGAAAGCCUUGUGCGGCUAGGGAUGGGCCCGCGGCCUAUCAGCUUGUUGGUGGGGUGAUGGCCUACCAAGGCGACGACGGGUAGCCGGCCUGAGAGGGCGACCGGCCACACUGGGACUGAGACACGGCCCAGACUCCUACGGGAGGCAGCAGUGGGGAAUCUUGCGCAAUGGGCGAAAGCCUGACGCAGCGACGCCGCGUGAGGGAUGACGGCCUGG